UGCUCUUUGUAUAUUAUAUAGAGUUUUACCUGCUCCAUGAAUUAUAUUAAAUAGCCGCAGUACAUUGACUGUGCAAAGGUAGCAUAAUCAAUUGGCUUAUAAUUGAAGUCUCGUAUGAAAGGAAAAACGGAAAGUAACUAUCUUAAACCAGUUUAUUAAAAAUUACUUAGUAAGUGAAAAGUCUUAUAUAUUAGAAAAAAGACGAGAAGACCCUAGAAAUUUUUUAUAUAGUGUAUUAAAAUCUAUUAUUCUAUUUUGUUGGGGCGACAUAGUAACAGUUAACUUACUAUAUACUACAAGCUAUUUAUUAGUCGAAAGAAUAAAUUACUCUAGGGAUAACAGCAUAAUUCUUAUGAGUUUGUGACCUCGAUGUUGGACUAGGAAAUAAUUUAUCUAGAAGGUAAAUUUGUUGGCUCUGUUCGAGCUUCUUCUCCUAC
rnacentral:rRNA from 1 species